GCGCCGCGGGCGGAGCAGAGCCGGGGCUGGCGGGGGCAGCGCGGCGCGGGCGGCGGAGCGGCGGGAUGCGGCAGGGCCGGGCCGCAGGGCUGGCGGGGCUGGCCGCGGUGCUCCUGGUGGCUGCAGGCAGAGCCCAGGUGCAGCAGGAGCCACGGGCAGAGACCAGAGAUGGCACCGGCAUCAACAUCACCUGCUCACACCCCAACAUCCAGUCAAACGAGUACAUCUAUUGGUACCGUCAGCUCCCAGGCCGAGGCCCCGCAUUCCUCGUGAGGGCUUAUAGUGGGUCCCAAGAUGUGACGGACCUGGCAGGGCGGCUAUCGGUGGCAGCAGACCGCCGGUCCAGCGCCCUGUUGCUCGCCCAGCCCCGGCUUCGGGACGCGGCGGUGUAUUACUGCGCCCUGAGAGCCACGGGGAGAGGAGCCGGGGCUGCGGCCGGGCAGGAACCGUGGCGGGCGGGGCCGGGCGUGUGUGGCGGGGGCGAGGCAGGGGCACAGCCCCCAGGGGGCGCUGCCGCUCCGCCCGCCGGGACCACGUCGCCCCGCAGCCCCGGGGGGCACCCGCCAGCCCGGCCCUGA